rnacentral:rRNA from 1 species
GUGUGUGAAGAAGGCCUUCGGGUUGUAAAGCACUUUCAGUUGUGAGGAAAAGUUAGUAGUUAAUACCUGCUAGCCGUGACGUUAACAACAGAAGAAGCACCGGCUAACUCCGUGCCAGCAGCCGCGGUAAUACGGAGGGUGCGAGCGUUAAUCGGAAUUACUGGGCGUAAAGCGCACGCAGGCGGUUUGUUAAGCUAGAUGUGAAAGCCCCGGGCUCAACCUGGGAUGGUCAUUUAGAACUGGCAGACUAGAGUCUUGGAGAGGGGAGUGGAAUUCCAGGUGUAGCGGUGAAAUGCGUAGAUAUCUGGAGGAACAUCAGUGGCGAAGGCGACUCCCUGGCCAAAGACUGACGCUCAUGUGCGAAAGUGUGGGUAGCGAACAGGAUUAGAUACCCUGGUAGUCCACACCGUAAACGCUGUCUACUAGCUGUGUGUGCCUUUAAGACGUGCGUAGCGAAGCUAACGCGCUAAGUAGACCGCCUGGGGAGUACGGCCGCAAGGUUAAAACUCAAAUGAAUUGACGGGGGCCCGCACAAGCGGUGGAGCAUGUGGUUUAAUUCGAUGCAACGCGAAGAACCUUACCUACACUUGACAUGCUGAGAAGUUACUAGAGAUAGUUUCGUGCCUUCGGGAACUCAGACACAGGUGCUGCAUGGCUGUCGUCAGCUCGUGUCGUGAGAUGUUGGGUUAAGUCCCGCAACGAGCGCAACC